GACGAACGCUGGCGGCGUGCUUAACACAUGCAAGCCGAACGGUAAGGCCCCUCGGGGUACACGAGUGGCGAACGGGUGAGUAACACGUGGGUGAUCUGCCCUGCACUUUGGGAUAAGCCUGGGAAACUGGGUCUAAUACCGAAUACACCCUGCUGGUCGCAUGGCCUGGUGGGGGAAAGCUUUUGCGGUGUGGGAUGGGCCCGCGGCCUAUCAGCUUGUUGGUGGGGUGAUGGCCUACCAAGGCGACGACGGGUAGCCGGCCUGAGAGGGUGACCGGCCACACUGGGACUGAGAGACGGCCCAGACUCCUACGGGAGGCAGCAGUGGGGAAUAUUGCACAAUGGGCGCAAGCCUGAUGCAGCGACGCCGCGUGAGGGAUGACGGCCUUCGGGUUGUAAACCUCUUUCAAUAGGGACGAAGCGCAAGUGACGGUACCUAUAGAAGAAGGACCGGCCAACUACGUGCCAGCAGCCGCGGUAACAC
rnacentral:rRNA from 1 species